rnacentral:lncRNA from 1 species
GCUCCGACUGUCCCAUGGCCAGGCCUCCCGACAGCUCCGCUCGGCCCCGGCCACUGGGCACGGCAGCUGCGGCGGCGACAGACAGCAGACGCCUCUGAAGCUCCAAGUUUCUUCCUAGUUUCGGCCCACCGGAAGUUGCUCUGGGAUUACGUCACUUCCACACGCUGGAGCCAGAUCAGGGGCGGGGCUACGGCUGGUGUCCCCCUUUCCCACUACACGUUGGUGGGCGGGGAAACGCGGCGCUUUCCAGAGGCCCUCCGCGGACGGUCUAUGGCUGCGCUUGCGCUCCGCCUCUUCCGCGCGGUUCGGUCGGAGUGGGACGGAUACCGUAGUGACUUGAAAUCGUGCUGUCACUGCGGAGUGACCCAGUGUCCAAGAUGUGUGAUCCUGGCUGGCCCGAAACAGGCGGUUACAGGCAGUAACAGUUACAGGCUGUCCGACCGAGGGUUCCUCGAGGCCCAACGAGCGCGGGCCGGCACGAGUCCAGGCCGUGAUACAAAAUAUCAUCCAUCCCCACAGCAAGAAGAAAAAUGGCCCUGAAAGAGUCCACUCAAAUCCUACAAACCUAUGAAUAUCACCUUACCUGGCAAAAGGAGCUUUGUAGAUGUGAUUAAAUUAAAUGUCUUGUGAUGAGGCAAUUGUCUGGGAUUAUCUAAGUGAGUUCAGAAGGAAAGAGGACAGUCAAUUAGAGGACAUGGACUGGCAGAAGUAGAGGUCAGAGUGAUGCAAGACCACAAGCCAAGGAAUGUGGGCAGCCUCUAGGAGCUGAAAAAAAAUGGAUUCUCCCUUCCAACCAGUUGAUAUCCUGAACUAUAAGAUAAUAAAUUGGUAUUGUUGAUGUCACUAAGUUUGUAGUAAUUUGUUAUAACAGCAAUACGAAAGUAUAUAACCCCUCGACAAUAAAAUACUCUACUAC